UACGUAGGGUGCAAGCGUUGUCCGGAAUUAUUGGGCGUAAAGAGCUCGUAGGCGGUCUGUCGCGUCUGCUGUGAAAACCUGGGGCUUAACCCCGGGCCUGCAGUGGGUACGGGCAGACUGGAGUGCGGUAGGGGAGAAUGGAAUUCCUGGUGUAGCGGUGGAAUGCGCAGAUAUCAGGAGGAACACCGGUGGCGAAGGCGGGUCUCUGGGCAACAACUGACGCUGAGGAGCGAAAGCGUGGGGAGCGAACAGG
rnacentral:rRNA from 1 species